CCACAGGCCGUAAACCCAAGGUUUCCAGGGGAAGGUUCGUCCGCCCUGGGUUAGUCGGGACCUAAGCUGAGGCCGACAGGCGUAGGUGAUGGACAACAGGUUGAUAUUCCUGUACUACCGAUAACCGGUUGAGAGAAGGGAUGACACAGUAGGAUAAGCUAAGCACCCUGUUGGUUAUGUGUGCCCAAGCAUUGAGGCAGUCAA
rnacentral:rRNA from 1 species